GACGAACGCUGGCGGCGUGCUUAACACAUGCAAGUCGAACGGAAAGGCCCUGCUUUUGUGGGGUGCUCGAGUGGCGAACGGGUGAGUAACACGUGAGUAACCUGCCCUUGACUUUGGGAUAACUUCAGGAAACUGGGGCUAAUACCGGAUAGGUGCUCCUGCUGCAUGGUGGGGGUUGGAUAGUUUCGGCGGUUGGGGAUGUACUCGCGGCUUAUCAGCUUGUUGGUGGGGUAGUGGCUUACCAAGGAUUUGACGGGUAGCCGGCCUGAGAGGGUGAACGGCGAAAUUGGGACUGAGAAAAGGCAAAGACGGCAACGGGAGGAAGCAGUGGAGAAUAUUGAAAAAUGGGAGGAAGCGUGAGGAAGAAACGCAGCGUGCGGGAUGAAGGCCUUAGGGUUGUAAACAGAUUUAGCAUGUGACGAAGAGAGAGUGACGGUAAUGGGUAAAGAAGCACCGGCUAACUACGUG
rnacentral:rRNA from 1 species